GCUGUUGUACUGUGUGUCUCUGUAGGGUGAACCACCAGUCCAGCCCAGUACAGUACAAACAGCUGCAGAAGCUGGUGGAAGACAUUAUUGCUCGGUGCACUGAGCUGCCCUUACCUGCCUCCUCGUGAGCCUCAGAGGAGAUGAGCCCAGCAGCCAGGCCUCGAGAGCGGGAGGGUUUCUACUCCAGGCCCCGGUCUGUUUCCAUGCCGCCUGCAGGCUAGUGGAGCAGUGUUCGUAUGAGCCUGGCCUGAAGGAGAAUGUGUUCACAGCUCCAUCCAAGCAGGUUCAGGGUCAGGACCCGCUGGAGUCCCUGUGUCUGUGUCUGCUUCAAUGCUGUGACACUGUUUGCAUCCCCACCGUCACAGUGAGCCCCGCCCCCAGCACACACACGUUCAUGCACCAUGUGUCUACAUGUGUAGAGGCACAGUGAGCCCCGCCCCCAGCACACACACGUUCAUGCACCAUGUGUCUACAUGUGUAGAGGCACAGUGAGCCCCGCCCCCAGCACACACACGUUCAUGCACCAUGUGUCUACAUGUGUAGAGGCACAGUGAGCCCCGCCCCCAGCACACACACGUUCAUGCACCAUGUGUCUACAUGUGUAGAGGCACAGUGAGCUCCGCCCCCAGCACACACACGUUCAUGCACCAUGUGUCUACAUGUGUAGAGGCACAGUGAGCUCCGCCCCCAGCACACACAUGUUCAUGCACCAUGUGUCUACAUGUGUAGAGGCACAGUGAGCUCCGCCCCCAGCACACACACGUUCAUGCACCAUGUGUCUACAUGUGUAGAAGCAUUGUAAGCCCCGCCCCUAGCACACACACGUUCAUGCACCAUGUGUCUACAUGUGUAGAAGCAUUGUGAGCCCCGCCCCUAGCACACACACGUUCAUGCACCAUGUGUCUACAUGUGUAGAGGCACAGUGAGCCCCGCCCCCAGCACACACACGUUCAUGCACCAUGUGUCUACAUGUGUAGAGGCACAGUGAGCUCCGCCCCCAGCACACACACGUUCAUGCACCAUGUGUCUACAUGUGUAGAGGCACAGUGAGCUCCGCCCCCAGCACACACACGUUCAUGCACCAUGUGUCUAUAUGUGUAGAGGCACAGUGAGCUCCGCCCCCAGCACACACACGUUCAUGCACCAUGUGUCUACAUGUGUAGAAGCAUUGUGAGCCCCGCCCCUAGCACACACAUGUUCAUGCACCAUGUGUCUACAUGUGUAGAAGCAUUGUGAGCCCCGCCCCCAUAGCCCAGGUGCUCCAGCACUUCUUCUCCAUCCUGUCGUACCGGUUCUCCCUUCUACCCUCCCUCAUGCCCCUCUUCGCUGCCAAACUGAGGCACCCUCUGGUUUCUUCAGGCUGGCUCUGGAGCACAAAGCUGUCCUCUAUGCAGGAAACAGAAACCUAGCUCUGAAUGCAGUCCACUGUGGUUUUCUGCAGAGGCUCAGUGUGUCUCUUCUGUCCCAACCAGACCCUGUAGCCAGCAUCCUCCCACAAGACUGUGAGGAGAUAGAGGCUGUGUUGAGGUCCAGCCUGCCCUCUCUGUGUUGUCGUGUGUGUGAGUGGCCCUCUCUGCUGUGUGAGUCCCCAGGGCCCCAAUGUGACCCUGCCGGCCCCAGGGCCACUCACUACUGUCUGCUCACUUUGCUGCACCUGGCCCUGCGGCAUGGAGACAGGCUGCUCCCUGACUCCACGGUGUUCUCCUGUGUGGUGACUGCUGUGCUCGGUGCAGGAGCAGGGAGACUCGGCCCUGCCUCCCUGUGUGCUCAGGUCUGCCCUCUACCUGCUGUCUGUCACACAGGACAAGAGCCCCGACCUGGACUGGGCUCCUCUAAACUGCAUCAGCAAGGCCCUGUCCUCCAGCCCCAGUUUCGCCUCCCUCUACACCCACCACCCUCCACUCCUACACUUCCUCUUCCGCUACCCAGAGCUGGCCGAGCACUUUGGGCCCCGGGUCCUGGAGCUGUGGUUGUCCCACCGUGCUGAGGCCACACUGCAGUCAGACACAAACAGUAAGAAGACAGAGGGCCCGUCAGAGCAGAACCAGGAUCCAGACAACACAGCCCUGCUGACUCUGCUGAAGAAGAGCCCCACUGUCAUACUGAACUUGCUGUUGCGGGAGGGAGACCCCGUGUACUGUACUGUCUUUGCCAACCCCAGCUCUCUGCAUGAACCCCUGCCUCUCUGUGUCUGUAGGGCAUGGUGUGUACCAGGGAGGCUCCCCUGGCAGAACGUGCUGUAGAGGUGCUGGGGAGUUUCCUGCAGGGCCGGCGGGGCUGUAAGGCCGGCCUGUGUACCCUACUCAGACCCACUCUGCUACAGGUGCUCCAGAGACUGGGC